rnacentral:tRNA from 1 species
GUGCCUGUGACUCAGUGGGUAGGGUGCCAGCCCCAUAUACUGGGGGUGGCAGUUCGAACCCUGCCCUGGCCA